AGGAUGAACGCUGGCGGCGUGCCUAAUACAUGCAAGUCGAGCGGCAGCGCAGGGUGCUUGCACCCUGGCGGCGAGCGGCGGACGGCUGAGUAACGCGUAGGAACGUACCCUAAAGUGAGGAAUAACUGCCCGAAAGGGUGGCUAAUACCGCAUAAUACCGCAAGGUUAAAGCAGUAAUGCGCUUCGGGAGGGGCCUGCGUCCCAUUAGCUAGUUGGUAGGGUAAUGGCCUACCAAGGCGACGAUGGGUAGCUGGAUCGAGAGGUUGACCAGCCACACUGGGACUGAGAUACGGCCCAGACUCCUACGGGAGGCAGCAGUAAGGAAUCUUCCACAAUGGACGAAAGUCUGAUGGAGCAACGCCGCGUGCAGGAUGACGGCCUUCGGGUUGUAAACUGCUUUUAUAUGGGAAGAUUAUGACGGUACCAUAUGAAUAAGGACCGGCUAACUACGUGCCAGCAGCCGC
rnacentral:rRNA from 1 species